GCAGAGAGAGAAGAACCCCUCACAUUUACAAUCCCUUCGUGCUCUUCUCAUUCUUCCCCCAUCACUCUCUCAGACAAACUCAAGCGUCUCCGUGAAGUUUCUAGAACGAGGGUCUUCUCUUCGCUGGCUCCGCGGCUGCCGCCGAUGCUGAGUUCAGAUUCCUUCACCUGAUUUUCGGCAAAAGCCCCAUCUUUGGCACCGUUGAGUUGUACGAACACCACUUGUUCCUUUGCUGCAAGAACCCUCGGGUUUGGCCAUCGCAAAUCGAGGCUACAAGAACCCUCUAGAAGCUAUGGCUAAUCGUGGGUCCCUCUAUCUUCAGCCACGUGGCAGCAUUCACCACGAACGAUGUUACCUACGCCUUCGCGAGUCACCUCGGCGAUGUUGAACUCGCUGCCAUUUCUAUUGCCAACACUGUCAUCGUUGGCUUCAAUUUCGGCCUCCUUUUGGGGAUGGAGAGAGCGUUGGAGACACUGUGCGGGCUUGGGUUUGGGGCAAAGAGAUAUCACAUGCUUAUACCACUGAUCUAGAAGAGGUUGAGGAGGUUAACAAGUAGCUUGCAGUUCUUGAGCAAUCUUCCCAAUAUAAAGAUCCAUUAUUUAUGUUGGAGCUUGUUCUUCACCAACAAACCACCAGCGGUGAAAAAACUUCCUAUUUUUCUUGGCAAAGGAUGGUCGAUACAGUGAAGUGACUAUUGCAACAUUGAUAGAUCUUGGUUUCUUAUGGUUUAGAGAGUUUUAUUAAGAGUCUUCACGAGUUAUUCAGAAUCUGGAAUACCUUGAGGAAUUUCAUUUUCAAAUUCAGAAAUUAAGGAUAUAUAUAUGUAAUACCGGUGGCAAGUGGAACGAAUGGAAAAUUGCUUCUUACAGAGAAACAUACCUUGCGCAGUUGUCAUGGAGUUGUGAUUGCCAUUGAUCCAUUGGCAGGGUUAUGUGUGCAUAAGGAUCCUUUUCUGAUGUCUGGAUAUAAAGUUAUAGAUGGCAGUGGCACUAUGCUGGUAAAGAAUUUUGGUGAUUUUUAAUCUUAUUUCAUAUCAUCCAUCAUUUUCACGAGUUUUGACUUUUUUUUCUAAGAAAAACAUGUAAUGGGGUAUUGUUGGUUUUGAUCUUAAGAUUGUUGUUGGAGAAGAGAUAGAAACAUGUAAGGAUUAUCACUUUGAACAGACCAAGGCAAUUGAAUGCUAUCUCACCUGAACUGGUUAGUCCACUCAAUCGACCUUUGAAUUGUUUGAUGUGGA